UUGCCCAUGUCCUGGGCACAACUUCCGCUACUGGACACCGAGCGAGAAAAAACGAUUCCAGCGGAAUCCAACGGACGAUUCUGCUCCCUUUUACCGAUUUUGGAUGUUUGCGGGUUGUUGGAUCCUACCGUGUCUCAUUGCUUCCAUUCAAACAAAGCAUGAGCUGAUCCAUUGCACUGCGACGACUUCAAGUGGGUGGUAAAUACUGCAGUGCGUGCCUGAGGAGGUCUUCAGCAUUUGCAGUUGCUGAAUGCGGAUGGACUGGAAGGCGAUGGUCAAAUAACGAACUGGAGACGAGAAACAAGUGGAUGAUCCCUGAUGGGUGUUUCAGUCAGAGUUACCUGCAUUACCAUGGACCAAGACAUCAACAUUGCGGUGGGUUU